rnacentral:rRNA from 1 species
CAGUAGCCACGGUAAUACGAAGGGUGCAAGCGUUACUCGGAAUUACUGGGCGUAAAGCGUGCGUAGGUGGUGGUUUAAGUCCGUUGUGAAAGCCCUGGGCUCGACCUGGGAAUUGCAGUGGAUACUGGGUCACUAGAGUGUGGUAGAGGAUAGUGGAAUUUCCGGUGUAGCAGUGAAAUGCGUAGAGAUCGGAAGGAACAUCUGUGGCGAAGGCGGCCAUCUGGGACAACACUGACGCUGAAGCACGAAAGCGUGGGGAGCAAACAGGAUUAGAUACCCCCGUAGUCCCUGUCUCUUAUAA